UGGAAGCUAGUGGUAGCAUGGCUGCGGCAUCGACGACGGAUCGUAAAAGAAGUCUGGUUUGGACAUAUUUCAUCUUAAUAAAUAGCAACGAGGCUAAGUGCACAGUUUGUGCCGAAACUGUCAGAUAUUCUGGUUAUACCAAAAGCCUCACGAAACACUUAAGAAACGUGCAUCCCGAAGCACACAAUCCGUGAAAAACAUGCCGCUCAAGCCGAGGAGGACACGAGAAAAGACAAGAGCACGCCGCCGAAGCAAAGCAAAGUACUUUAGAAGGGGUGAUUGCGAAAGGCAGGACUUAUCCAGGAUCCUUGAGAGAUGACUUUCAGUGUCGUGAGAAGUUCUACCGCACACUUAUUAUGACCACCAAAAAUUGAGGAGGCCUGGCCCUCUCAGUGACCCCAGUGUACCCCGUCAGACUAAACAAUGAUGUAGGGUCACCUCUUCAUGGCCCAAGACAGAUGGCUGCCUCGCCGUCACCAUGGCCAAGGUCACCUCCCCUCCCCCUAUUGCUUUGUGCACCUGCACUCCAAUGCCCCACUAUAAUCUUUAUUCCUAUACAGUACCUAGCACACGCAACAGCGUAAAACCUCACCCCGCCACGAGCAGAAGAACAAAAUGUACCAUUUAAAAUUCUACUGGUGUAACAAGGCACUUCAAUGAAUCAAAGCUAUGCUGUUUGAACAAAAUACACCACUUGUAAAUAAAUAUACAUUGGACUUAUUCAAGGCCUAGCUGUGUUUUGACAGU